rnacentral:misc_RNA from 1 species
CGGACUACGAGGGUAUCUAAUCCUGUUUGCUCCCCACGCUUUCGCGUCUCAGCGUCAGUAUCCGUCCAGGUGGCCGCCUUCGCCGCUGGUGUUCCUCCCGAUAUCUACGAAUUUCACCUCUACACCGGGAAUUCCGCCACCCUCUCCGGUACUCAAGCCAUGCAGUUUUGGGCGCACUUCCUCGGUUAAGCCGAGGGCUUUCACACCCAACUUACAAAGCCGCCUACACGCGCUUUACGCCCAAUAAUUCCGGACAACGCUCGCACCCCACGUAUUACCGCGGCGGCUGGCAC